rnacentral:other from 1 species
CGUUCUCUGCGGUGUUCGAGUAGUGGGCCGGGUAACCCCUUGAUCCUAGAUGUUAAUACCCAGGGAGCACAGCUGUUGGCGUAGGUGUGCAUGUCCGCCCUCGCUGCGGAAAGCCUGAUACGCUGCCUGUUCCCCCACUUGAACCACCACGGUUCAAGGGCGAUGGUCCGAGACGGCACAGGCGGAGGACGC